GCCCGCGGUGGCUCAGAUGGAUAGAGCGUCUGCCAUGUAAGCAGGAGAUCGCGGGUUCGAGUCCCGGUCGGGGCA
rnacentral:tRNA from 1 species